CCAGAGGCAACUGGUCUGUGAAGCUGCUCCUUCCGUCAAUCUCUCCAGCCUUGACACCUCUUCUUCCCUAAAUGAAGGGGUGAGGGAGCCCCAGGCAGAGGGAAGAGGUGGGGAGGGCCUCCUGGGUUGGGUGAGGGUGGCCUUGUUUGUGGUCCUGAGGGCAGGGGACCCAUAAGCUUUCUCAGUCCUUCCUGGUCCCUAACUCCCUCUUGGCUCUGUGAAUGGCUCGCACACACUGGCUCUCGGGAGCAGACGUUGCGAUCCAGGAUGAGACAUAAAGUGGGUUCUUCCCAUGCACUGGUCUGUCUGGCACAAGCCACUCACCUGCACUUUCCAUCUCCAUAGCAUCUCUCUGAGGCAGGAUCUUCAUGCUAGAAAGCUAAGGUCGGAAAAGUGAGGAGAGGCCACAACCAGGAGGCACGGGGCCAGGAUUCCAGCCAGGCCUGCUGGACCAGCCAUGGGUGGUCAGCGAAGGCUAAGGGCCCUGGGAACGUGUCCUGCCAAGAUGUUUAUGAACUCUCAAAGCCCUGGGUAGCAGACGCCUAAUUGCAACCAGGAGAGAAGAGCAAACCAGCCUGCAUGACGGCCCAUUUUUCUGUUUCCAGGGCCUCUAAGCGUUUUCACUCUGCAUUUCUGAGGGGUGGCUCCCGGGCCAGCCCUGUUAGAAUCUGACACUUGGGGACCCAAUGUCUGGGUCUGCCAGAUUCCCACCCACUCUGCUCAGCUUUCCCAUCUACCUAGACCUGGAAAGGUGGACUGAGGCUGCUUUAUUGGGUCUGGAUCCGAACACACUUCUCUUUUACUCCCCACAGCAUGUCCCCAUCACUCCACAGCUCCCCCAAACCUGAAAGCUUGUCUAGGGGGAGGGGAGAAGGGGCGGAGGAAGAGGCAGAGAGGAGGUGGAGACAGAAGAGGAAAGAAGGGGUGAAGAUGCAUGAAGUCACAUGAGCACCCACUGGUGCUCCCAGAGCCUCCAGGGAAAACAGCCCUGAAGGGCCCUGGGGGAGAGGAAAUGGAUUUCAACAGGAUUCACAGAAAGCAGGUCAGACCUCGGGGAGAAUUCCUGGCUGUGCAAGAUCAACUCGGCUCUCCUUCCUGUCUUUGCUUCCUGGCCACACGUGUGGGUCAAAGGCCCUGAACACACCCUCCCUGGGCCUCCCAGCCUCUGUCCCUGCCUGGAAGACGUCCUAGGGCAAGAUGCCGCAUCUUGGAGAUCUCUCUUACUGGGGCUGGGCUAACUCUGGCUGUGCUGUCCCUGUUCUCCUCACCAGCGCGGUUUUCCAGGAGCCAAGAAGCAAUUCUGGAAUGUACAGGUAAAUCUUCACAGGUAAAGUAUAAAGGCUUUCCCAUCUUCUGCUUCUUCUUUGCUCCCUUUUCUCGAACUCAUUACUCUUCUCUUCCUGGAUGUUGCGGGGUGCUGGUGGGACCAGGGGGUUUCACAAAGGGCAGGAGCCUGCCACGUGCCUGGGGGGCACUGUCCUGUGCUGGGUCUCAGUUUCCUCCUUUGUGAGGCUGGGAGUCGCGACGCCUAUCUUGCAUGGCAGGUAAGUUGCUCUCCGCAGGGACUGUCACUUUUUUGUCUGGCACUCACGGUCAGAAAUACAUUUUACAUAUUGACCAAGUGCCCGCGUAAAUAAAUACACACGUGAAAUAAAUGCUUCACAGAGCGACACUUACUCACUGCAUGGAAUGAUCUCUGGUAUUUCCUAUCUAAUUGUUUCACUUUCGUCAAGUGCUAGUCCCCACCACGUUUUUUUCAGGACGCGGUAUUGGUCCCUGAUCUGAUGUGCACGGUCAAGAGGGAGAGACAGAAAAAAAGCAAGCGCACAGGCGCACACAUGAUCACUACCGGAGCGAAGCGCGGCGCAGGGAAGAGCGGGGUCUGAGCCAAGGGGAGAGGGGCGGGCCCAUUUCUGCACUUCACAGCGAGGCCUCGGGCAAGGCGGCAGGCAGGCCAGGUCAGACCCGGCUUUGAGGCUCUGGUGGCGGGCUGGGAUUUAUUUUAAGGGACAUGGAACGCCACCGCAGGUUUGGGGGAGGGGCAGGAUUAAAGGAGAAGAUGCGCUCAGCACGUUAUAUUUAGUGGCUGACGCGCCGGAAGGGCUCGUUACCCGCAGCUACCACUGCGCCCCACGCCCGGAGCGCGGCCCCAGCUUCGCCCCCCGGGGCAGGGAUCCCCGGUCCCCGCCUUCACCACCUGGGGCAGGAACCCCAGUCCCCCUAUCCUGUCUUCACUCCUCGGGGCAGCGACCCCGGCCUCCGCCUUCGUCCCCCGGGGCAGGGACCCACGGUCCCCGCCUUCGCCCCGCGAGCAAGGAUCCCAACCCGCCAGUGCUGGAGACGAAGAGAGUGAGGGCGGAACCUGGCCCGGCGGCCUCCCAGCCAGGGUGGACAAAGCUGUCCCGGCACGCUUCGGCAGAGGGGAAACUGAGGCCAGGGGACUGAGUCCGCAGGCUCGCAGAGCGGGGGCCUGGGGCGGGGCCGGCACGCGCGGCGGGCGGGGCCUGGCCCCGCCCCUCC
rnacentral:lncRNA from 1 species